ACUAACGGUAAAAAAUGAAAUCAACCCGUAGGCUUUCGAACCAGUUGGUGGAGGUGGAAGACAGUGAGAGUGUGCAAGUAUGCCAGCAAAUGGAAGGUUCCGGAUUCAGCACAUAGAUUCCAAAUUGUAGCUAUAAACAGAGCAACUCAUUAACCCUGUACCAUGACUACUGGGCACAUGAGCAGAGCUCCCCCACGCUUCAGUUGGGCCAUCAAGAAAACCCAAGGUGCCCAGCUUCCUGCCUCAGCUACAGCCAGCCCUCCACCAGCUGUCAAGGAGCCUCGUGUUCCUUGUCUCCCGAGAAGUGGCUGGUUCUCGCCUCCUCCGCCGUGCUCCCCGUAAACUGCAAGAUAGAACAACGGCCUGGUGGCUCCCUAACCGGAUACAUUAAAUCAGCCUUCCCCUUUGAGAUCAUCGUGCAGAUCCCUUCAGGAUUCACGAACGCUUCACCUCAGUCACCAACAGCAGCCCGUGCCCUAAGGCCCUAAUCCAAUGACUGAUGUCCUUACAAGGAAACGGAAAGAUCACCUGAAGACAGAGACACGGGGAGAGGACCACAUGAAGACAGGCCAGAGAUGGGAGUGCUAUAUCUACCAGCCAAGGAUCACUGGUGAUUUCUGGUGACCACCAGAAGCUAGAAAGGAAGGACCCUCCCCUAGAGCCCUCAGAGGGAGUAUCGCCUUGCUGAUAGCUUGACUUUAGACCUCUGGCCCCCAGAACCGACAGACAAUAAACUCCUGUUGUUUUAAGCC